rnacentral:lncRNA from 1 species
CCCGGUCCCGCCCUCCCUGGUGCCGCCCCCUCCCCCUUGCCCUCCUCGCCAGCCCCCUCCCCCACGGGAUGGAAUGGGAAGACCCAGGUAGGGGGCUGGGGGCUGGGGGCUGAGGGAAGGGGCGCCGCCCCGGCCCCUCCUGACCUUGUCGCCUGGAGGAUGAGGAGGACGCGGCGCCGGGGGCCCGGCUCCCUCACCAGCGCAGGCCGCCGGCUGCAUCUCCAGGGGACCCGCGGGCGUCCAUCUCCACCUCCUCCGAGUCGGCCAAGGGCGCGCAGGUGCCUCCGGGCCCGCGACGUCCGCAGCCUCGCACCUCCACGCGGCCGGCAGGGCUCUCGCCACUCACACUUUCAUUCAUUCACUCAUUCAUUCGUUCGCCCAUUCGUUCAUUCAUUCACCGGCCCGCCCAUUCAUUCAUUCGUUCACUCACCCAUUCGUUCAUUCACUCGUUCAUUCAUUCACUCACUCGUUCAUUCGUUCACCCACUCGUUCAUUCCUUCACUCAUUUGUUUAUUCGCUCACCCUUUCAUGCAUUAAUUCACUCACCCAUUCGUUCAUUCACUUAUUCAUUCAUUCGCUUGUUCAUUCGUUCAUUCACUCGUUCAUUCCUUCACCCAUUUGUUUAUUCGCUCACCCUUUCAUUCAUUCACUCAUUCAUUUGUUCACCCAUUCACGGGCUCACCCAUUCAUUCAUUCAUUCAUUCGUUCAUUUACUCGUUCAUUCGUUCACCCAUUUAUUUGCUCACUCUUUCAUUCAUUCAUUGGUCUCACCCAUUUGUUCAUUCAUUCAUUCUUAUAUGACCCAUUCACUUAUUCAUUCCCACACCAUUCCUUCCUGCAUUCACUCAUUCCUGCAUUCAUUAACUCACUCAUUUGUUCAUCCAUUUGUUGGCUCACCCAUUCAUCCAUUCAUUAGUUCACUCACCCAUUCAUUUGUUCACCACCCAUUCAUUCAUUUGUUCAUUCCCGCACCAUUCAUUCAUUCAUUCAUUCCCACACUCAUUUGCUCAUUCAUUGGCA